CUCGGGCCUUGUACACACCGCCCGUCACACCACGAAGGUUGGCAAUACCCGAAGCCGGUGGCCUAACCCGCAAGGGAGGGAGCCGUCGAAGGUAGGGUCGAUGAUUGGGGUG
rnacentral:rRNA from 1 species